AGACCCGAAACCCGGUGAUCUAGCCAUGGGCAGGUUGAAGGUUGGGUAACACUAACUGGAGGACCGAACCGACUAAUGUUGAAAAAUUAGCGGAUGACCUGUGGCUGGGGGUGAAAGGCCAAUCAAACCGGGAGAUAGCUGGUUCUCCCCGAAAGCUAUUUAGGUAGCGCCUCGUGAAUUCAUCUCCGGGGGUAGAGCACUGUUUCGGCUAGGGGGCCAUCCCGGCUUACCAACCCGAUGCAAACUGCGAAUACCGGAGAAUGUUAUCACGGGAGACACACGGCGGGUGCUAACGUCCGUCGUGAAGAGGGAAACAACCCAGACCGCCAGCUAAGGUCCCAAAGUCAUGGUUAAGUGGGAAACGAUGUGGGAAGGCCCAGACAGCCAGGAUGUUGGCUUAGAAGCAGCCAUCAUUUAAAGAAAGCGUAAUAGCUCACUGGUCGAGUCGGCCUGCGCGGAAGAUGUAACGGGGCUAAACCAUGCACCGAAGCUGCGGCAGCGACGCUUAUGCGUUGUUGGGUAGGGGAGCGUUCUGUAAGCCUGUGAAGGUGUGUCGUGAGGCAUGCUGGAGGUAUCAGAAGUGCGAAUGCUGACAUAAGUAACGAUAAAGCGGGUGAAAAGCCCGCUCGCCGGAAGACCAAGGGUUCCUGUCCAACGUUAAUCGGGGCAGGGUGAGUCGACCCCUAAGGCGAGGCCGAAAGGCGUAGUCGAUGGGAAACGGGUUAAUAUUCCCGUACUUGGUGUUACUGCGAAGGGGGGACGGAGAAGGCUAUGUUGGCCGGGCGACGGUUGUCCCGGUUUAAGCGUGUAGGUGUGUGUUCCAGGUAAAUCCGGUUCACUUUAACACUGAGGCGUGAUGACGAGGCACUACGGUGCUGAAGCAACAAAUGCCCUGCUUCCAGGAAAAGCCUCUAAGCAUCAGGUAACAUCAAAUCGUACCCCAAACCGACACAGGUGGUCAGGUAGAGAAUACCAAGGCGCUUGAGAGAACUCGGGUGAAGGAACUAGGCAAAAUGGUGCCGUAACUUCGGGAGAAGGCACGCUGACAC
rnacentral:rRNA from 1 species